CUGGUAGUAGUAGCAAAUUUGGCUUGUUUGUUUGGUAGUCGUAGCAAAUUACAUCUGCUUCCUUCUCUCCCUCUCUCUCGCUCUCCUCGGGUAUUGUCGCCGUUGAGGACCGCGGUUCGCUCAGGACUGCCCUCCUCCUCCUGCCGCUGGCUGUCGUCGGUGCCGUCGUUGGAAUGGAACCAGAGGUGCCGCUGCCGGCGGUGGAGACGGGAACGGCGGGGCGCCAACCGGAUCUGAUGAGGCGGAGCUGCUGCUGCACCGACCUGGAGCAGAGGAUCGAUCCCGGUGGGCGGUGGCGGGCGGGGCUCGUGGGGCCGAGCGGCAGCUAGCCGGAGUGCGGCCCACGGUUUCGGCGUCCUGGACGACGUGGGACGGCGGCGACCUCGCCAAUAUCAAAUGGUUGGUCGCCCUCUUUGCGUGCUUGCCUUAUCUCUGAAACAACAGCAUUUUCCAACUGUUCCUUUUACUUAAUUGCUGAAUAGCAACCAUUCGUGUGCGUAGAAUUCCUUUUACUUAAUUACUUAAUUGCUGAAUAGCAAGCUCACACGCGGUGAGCACAUGAGAGCCCACUGCGUGUUUGAUCCACAGGAAACAAGAACAAGCAAUGCCCCUAUGUGAUCCACAGGCGUAAUUGACCAAGACUGUAUGCGCCGAAUGGAGCAAGCUCUCUUUGUGAAGGAAAGAAGCAGUGAGAAUAUAUCAAUUGUGUCUUCUAAACACCACAGGCUUACAUGGCUAUUGUAUUAUGAAUCCACUGAAUACUCUGAAUUUGGAAGUGUUCUUGUGUUUAUUUUCCCCUCUCUUCUUCAGUAUGUGGAUGUGUUUUCCCCACGACCCCACUCUUCUUCAGUUUGCAGCCUAACAGAAGUCUGCAAGAAAAUUAAAUUUACUCGAGUUUUGCAUCAACGAUUCUCUUGACUGGUACUCAAAGGGUGAUAAGGUGACUUGCUAGUUCAGUUGAAGAAAAUUUGUGAGGAAUAAGAUAUGGACACAUAAUUGUUUUCAUUGAAUUGGCAAUUGGAGGAGAGAAGGAAGAUACUGUAUGUUCAUUGGUUUCUUGGAGGAUGACCAAGGAAAUUCCACAUCUUUUGAA